AACGAACGCUGGCGGCAUGCCUAACACAUGCAAGUCGAACGAGACCUUCGGGUCUAGUGGCGCACGGGUGCGUAACGCGGGGGAACCUGCCCUUAGGUUCGGCAUAACUCCCCGAAAGGGGUGCUAAUACCGGAUAAUGUCUUCGGACCAACGAUUUAUCGCCUUUGGAUGGGCCCGCGUUGGAUUAGCUAGUUAGUAGGGUAAAAGCCUACCAAGGCGACGAUCCAUAGCUGGUCUGAGAGGAUGAUCAGCCACACUGGUACUGAGACACGGCCCAGACUCCUACGGGAGGCAGCAGUGGGGAAUAUUGGACAAUGGGCGAAAGCCUGAUCCAGCAAUGCCGCGUGAGUGAUGAAGGCCUUAGGGUUGUAAAGCUCUUUUACCCGGGAUGAUAAUGACAGUACCGGGAGAAUAAGCACCGGCUAACUCCGUG
rnacentral:rRNA from 1 species